GACGAACGCUGGCGGCGUGCUUAACACAUGCGAGUCGAACGGAAAGGCCCUGCUUUUGUGGGGUGCUCGAGUGGCGAACGGGUGAGUAACACGUGAGUAACCUGCCCUUGACUUUGGGAUAACUACAGGAAACUGGGGCUAAUACCGGAUAGGAGCUCCUGCUGCAUGGUGGGGGUUGGAAAGUUUCGGCGGUUGGGGAUGGACUCGCGGCUUAUCAGCUUGUUGGUGGGGUAGUGGCUUACCAAGGCUUUGACGGGUAGCCGGCCUGAGAGGGUGACCGGCCACAUUGGGACUGAGAUACGGCCCAGACUCCUACGGGAGGCAGCAGUGGGGAAUAUUGCACAAUGGGCGGAAGCCUGAUGCAGCAACGCCGCGUGCGGGAUGACGGCCUUCGGGUUGUAAACCGCUUUCGCCUGUGACGAAGCGUGAGUGACGGUAAUGGGUAAAGAAGCACCGGCUAACUACGUG
rnacentral:rRNA from 1 species